UACGGGGGGGGCAAGCGUUGUCCGGAAUUACUGGGCGUAAAGGGCUCGUAGGCGGCCAACUAAGUCAGACGUGAAAUCCCUCGGCUUAACCGGGGAACUGCGUCUGAUACUGGAUGGCUUGAGAUUGGGAGAGGGAUGCGGAAUUCCAGGUGUAGCGGUGAAAUGCGUAGAUAUCUGGAGGAACACCGGUGGCGAAGGCGGCAUCCUGGACCAACACUGACGCUGAGGAGCGAAAGCCAGGGGAGCAAACGGG
rnacentral:rRNA from 1 species